GGCUUGGUGGUCUAGUGGCAUGAUUCUCGCUUAGGGUAUUGCGAGAGGUCCCGGGUUCAAUUCCCGGCCAAGCC
rnacentral:tRNA from 1 species